AUUGAACGCUGGCGGCAGGCCUAACACAUGCAAGUCGAACGAGUGGCGGACGGGUGAGUAAUGUCUGGGAAACUGCCUGAUGGAGGGGGAUAACUACUGGAAACGGUAGCUAAUACCGCAUACCAUCAGAUGUGCCCAGAUGGGAUUAGCUAGUUGGUGGGGUAACGGCUCAACAAGGCGACGAUCCCUAGCUGGUCUGAGAGGAUGCCCAGCCACACUGGCACUGAGACACGGUCCAGACUCCUACGGGAGGCAGCAGUGGGAAAGUGUGCACAAGGGGCGCAAGCUUGAUGCAGCCAUGCCGCGUGUAUGAAGAUGGCCUUCGGGUUGUAAAGUACUUUCUGCGGGGAGGCGUUACCCGCAGAAGAAGCACCGGCUAACUCCGUGCCAGCAGCCGCGGUAAUUC
rnacentral:rRNA from 1 species